rnacentral:rRNA from 2 species
GCGUAAAGCGCGCGCAGGCGGUUUCUUAAGUCUGAUGUGAAAGCCCACGGCUCAACCGUGGAGGGUCAUUGGAAACUGGGGAACUUGAGUGCAGAAGAGAAAAGCGGAAUUCCACGUGUAGCGGUGAAAUGCGUAGAGAUGUGGAGGAACACCAGUGGCGAAGGCGGCUUUUUGGUCUGUAACUGACGCUGAGGCGCGAAAGCGUGGGGAGCAAACAGGAUUAGAUACCCUGGUAGUCCACGCCGUAAACGAUGAGUGCUAAGUGUUAGAGGGUUUCCGCCCUUUAGUGCUGCAGCUAACGCAUUAAGCACUCCGCCUGGGGAGUACGGUCGCAAGACUGAAACUCAAAGGAAUUGACGGGGGCCCGCACAAGCGGUGGAGCAUGUGGUUUAAUUCAAAGCUACGCGAAGAACCUUACCAGGUCUUGACAUCCUCUGACAACUCUAGAGAUACAGCGUUCCCCUUCGGGGGACAGAGUGACAGGUGGUGCAUGGUUGUCG